CAACCGCCGAGGAGUUCCACAAUAGGACGAAACGGCCGUCCAGUGC
rfam:Schistosoma margrebowiei strain Zambia genome assembly, scaffold: SMRZ_contig0002553